GGGUUUGAUUCUGGCUCAGAACGAACGCUGGCGGCAGGCUUAACACAUGCAAGUCGAACGAACUCUUCGGAGUUAGUGGCCGACGGGUGAGUAACGCGUGGGAAUAUACCUUUCGGUACGGAACAACAGUUGGAAACGACUGCUAAUACCGUAUGCGCCCUACGGGGGAAAGAUUUAUCGCCGAAGGAUUAGCCCGCGUUGGAUUAGCUAGUUGGUGGGGUAAAGGCCUACCAAGGCGACGAUCCAUAGCUGGUCUGAGAGGAUGAUCAGCCACACUGGGACUGAGACACGGCCCAGACUCCUACGGGAGGCAGCAGUGGGGAAUAUUGGACAAUGGGGGCAACCCUGAUCCAGCCAUGCCGCGUGAGUGAUGAAGGCCCUAGGGUUGUAAAGCUCUUUCAGCGAGGAGGAUAAUGACGUUACUCGCAGAAGAAGCCCCGGCUAACUUCGUGC
rnacentral:rRNA from 1 species